rnacentral:rRNA from 1 species
GUCUACGGCCAUGCCACUCUGAACAUGCCCGAUCCCGUUUGAUCUUGGAAACUAAGCAGGGUCAGGCCUGGUUAGUACUUGGAUGGGAGACCACCUCAGACUACCAGGUGCUGUAGGCG